rnacentral:rRNA from 1 species
ACGCUCGACACCUACAGGCAGCAGUGAGGAAUAUUGGUCAAUGGGCGCUAGCCUGAACCAGCCAAGUAGCGUGAAGGAUGAAGGCUCUAUGGGUCGUAAACUUCUUUUAUAUAAGAAUAAAGUGCAGUAUGUAUACUGUUUUGUAUGUAUUAUAUGAAUAAGGAUCGGCUAACUCCGUGCCAGCAGCCGCGGUAAUCUGAGCGGGCUGGCAAGGC